GACGAUGCUGCGGCCGGUUGGCCAUUCCCGGCGCCGGCACCGGCAUCGCCCAGUCCCACUCCGGAACCGGCACCGGUAUCACCCAGCCCCACUCCGGAACCGGCACCGGUAUCACCCAGCCCCACUCCGGAACCGGCACCGGUAUCACCUAGCCCCACUCAGAAACCGGCCCCGGCGUCGCCUAGUCCCACACCGGCACCCACGCCGGUACCACCCAGCCUCACCCCGGCACCCGCACCGGCACCGACGUGGCGAAUCCGUGGGGAAACAGGAUAUGCAUUCUAAAUCUAAACCUUAUUUGGAUUUAGCGGAGAAUUGGAGAUGACCAUGUGAUGGUAGAUUGCCCCGUUUGGAAACCAGGAGU
rnacentral:lncRNA from 1 species